AUUGGGUUGGCCAGAAAGUUCAGAUUUUUCCAUGAGAUGUUAUGGAAAAACCCGAAUGAACUUUUGGCCAACUCAGU
rnacentral:miRNA from 1 species